rnacentral:sRNA from 12 species
CUCGCCAAGCCUCUUAGCAAUGCUCAAAUAGGUGAGG